AUGAUCUGCUAGUGUAAUGGAUCGCACACAAGAUUCCGGUUCUUGAGAUCCGGGUUCGACUCCGGGUGGAUCAUU
rnacentral:tRNA from 1 species